rnacentral:rRNA from 2 species
UUGAUGAGGUGCUUGCACCUGAUGAUUUUGGUCGCCAACGAGUGGCGGACGGGUGAGUAACACGUAGGUAACCUGCCCAGAAGCGGGGGACAACAUUUGGAAACAGAUGCUAAUACCGCAUAACAACGUUGUUCGCAUGAACAACGCUUAAAAGAUGGCUUCUCGCUAUCACUUCUGGAUGGACCUGCGGUGCAUUAGCUUGUUGGUGGGGUAAUGGCCUACCAAGGCGAUGAUGCAUAGCCGAGUUGAGAGACUGAUCGGCCACAAUGGGACUGAGACACGGCCCAUACUCCUACGGGAGGCAGCAGUAGGGAAUCUUCCACAAUGGGCGCAAGCCUGAUGGAGCAACACCGCGUGAGUGAAGAAGGGUUUCGGCUCGUAAAGCUCUGUUGUUAAAGAAGAACACGUAUGAGAGUAACUGUUCAUACGUUGACGGUAUUUAACCAGAAAGUCACGGCUAACUACGUGCCAGCAGCCGCGGUAAUACGUAGGUGGCAAGCGUUAUCCGGAUUUAUUGGGCGUAAAGAGAGUGCAGGCGGUUUUCUAAGUCUGAUGUGAAAGCCUUCGGCUUAACCGGAGAAGUGCAUCGGAAACUGGAUAACUUGAGUGCAGAAGAGGGUAGUGGAACUCCAUGUGUAGCGGUGGAAUGCGUAGAUAUAUGGAAGAACACCAGUGGCGAAGGCGGCUACCUGGUCUGCAACUGACGCUGAGACUCGAAAGCAUGGGUAGCGAACAGGAUUAGAUACCCUGGUAGUCCAUGCCGUAAACGAUGAGUGCUAGGUGUUGGAGGGUUUCCGCCCUUCAGUGCCGGAGCUAACGCAUUAAGCACUCCGCCUGGGGAGUACGACCGCAAGGUUGAAACUCAAAGGAAUUGACGGGGGCCCGCACAAGCGGUGGAGCAUGUGGUUUAAUUCGAAGCUACGCGAAGAACCUUACCAGGUCUUGACAUCUUGCGCCAACCCUAGAGAUAGGGCGUUUCCUUCGGGAACGCAAUGACAGGUGGUGCAUGGUCGUCGUCAGCUCGUGUCGUGAGAUGUUGGGUUAAGUCCCGCAACCGAGCCGCAACCCUUGUUACUAG